UUCUUCUCUUUCAUUCUUCUUCUUUCUUCUUCUUUCUUCUUCCUCCUUUUCUAUCUUCUGUUCUCUCUUCUUUCCUUCUUCCGGUCGAUUUCAAGUCGACGUAGCGAGCUUAAUUUGAUGUGAGUGAUUCACCAAAGCAUAUUAGUUAGCUAUAUCGAUGGAGAAGGUGAUGGUGAUGCAGUUAGUUGAUUACAGGAAGAAGAUGAAAAGGUAAUCCGAAGGUAUGGAGCGCUUAAAGAUACUCGUUUGGCAGCUUAGAGCUUUGUCGUAUCUAGUGUUGUUGUUUAUCGUUUACUAUAUGUAUUCUUUCAUAUUUUGUAAACAACACAUUUAUAUAUUCUUAGAAUUCGAAAGACUUUCAUUUAUAUAAUAUCAGAGAGUUUGGAUUUUGUUA